GAUGAACGCUGGCGGCGUGCCUAAUACAUGCAAGUCGAGCGAACGGACGAGAAGCUUGCUUCUCUGAUGUUAGCGGCGGACGGGUUAGUAACACGUGGAUAACCUACCUAUAAGACUGGGAUAACUUCGGGAAACCGGAGCUAAUACCGGAUAAUAUUUUGAACCGCGUGGUUCAAAAGUGAAAGACGGUCUUGCUGUCACUUAUAGAUGGAUCCGCGCUGCAUUAGCUAGUUGGUAAGGUAACGGCUUACCAAGGCAACGAUGCAUAGCCGACCUGAGAGGGUGAUCGGCCACACUGGAACUGAGACACGGUCCAGACUCCUACGGGAGGCAGCAGUAGGGAAUCUUCCGCAAUGGGCGAAAGCCUGACGGAGCAACGCCGCGUGAGUGAUGAAGGUCUUCGGAUCGUAAAACUCUGUUAUUAGGGAAGAACAUAUGUGUAAGUAACUGUGCACAUCUUGACGGUACCUAAUCAGAAAGCCACGGCUAACUACGUG
rnacentral:rRNA from 1 species